rnacentral:rRNA from 1 species
GCGGCCUAUCAGCUUGUUGGUGAGGUAAUGGCUCACCAAGGCGACGACGGGUAGCCGGCCUGAGAGGGCGACCGGCCACACUGGGACUGAGACACGGCCCAGACUCCUACGGGAGGCAGCAGUGGGGAAUAUUGGGCAAUGGAGGGAACUCUGACCCAGCGACGCCGCGUGCGGGAUGAAGGCCUUCGGGUUGUAAACCGCUUUCAGCAAGGAAGAAGCGAAAGUGACGGUACUUGCGGAAGAAGCACCGGCUAACUAUGUGCCAGCAGCCGCGGUAAUACAUAGGGUGCAAGCGUUGUCCGGAAUUAUUGGGCGUAAAGAGCUCGUAGGUGGUUCGUCACGUCGGAUGUGAAAAUCUGGGGCUUAACCCCAGACCUGCAUUCGAUACGGGCGAGCUAGAGUGUGGUAGGGGAGACUGGAAUUCCU